rnacentral:rRNA from 1 species
AAAGAUUAAGCCAUGCAUGUCUAAGUAUAAGCUUUUUAUACGGCGAAACUGCGAAUGGCUCAUUAAAACAGUUAUAGUUUAUUUGAUAGUCACUUAGGUACUACAUGGAUAACCGUGGUAAUUCUAUGGCUAAUACAUGCGCAAAUACUAUACCUCUACGGUAUAGUAGUGUUUAUUAGAUACAGAACCAAUACGCUCCUUUUAUGGGGUGUUCAAUGAGGUGAUUCAUAGUAACCGAACGGAUCGCAUUAUGAUCAUAUUAUUAUGAUUGGCGAUAGAUCAUUCAAGUUUCUGACCUAUCAGCUUUCGACGGUAGUGUAUUGGACUACCGUGGCAGUGACGGGUAACGGGGAAUUAGGGUUCGAUUCCGGAGAGGGAGCCUGAGAAACGGCUACCACAUCUAAGGAAGGCAGCAGGCGCGCAAAUUACCCAAUCCUGACUCAGGGAGGUAGUGACAAGAAAUAACAACACUGGAAAUUUUAUUUCUAGUGAUUGGAAUGAUGGGAAUCCAAACCC